UAGCGAGACUCUGGAAAGUGUCUCAUCUUUCGGGAUGAGGCCGCCGACGGUGUAACUUUGGCCUGCCUGCCUUGGGCUUGUCGAGGGAAGCUCUCAGGUUUCCGUGACAGAGGGGGCACC
rnacentral:ncRNA from 2 species